rnacentral:rRNA from 1 species
UACGAAGGGGGCUAGCGUUGUUCGGAAUCACUGGGCGUAAAGGGCGCGUAGGCGGCUUUAUAAGUCGGGGGUGAAAGCCUGUGGCUCAACCACAGAAUUGCCUUCGAUACUGUAGAGCUUGAGACCGGAAGAGGUAAGUGGAACUGCGAGUGUAGAGGUGAAAUUCGUAGAUAUUCGCAAGAACACCAGUGGCGAAGGCGGCUUACUGGUCCGGUGCUGACGCUCAUGCACGAAAGCGUGGGGAGCAAACAGG